UACGGGGGGGGCAAGCGUUGUUCGGAAUUACUGGGCGUAAAGGGCUCGUAGGUGGCCAACUAAGUCAGACGUGAAAUCCCCAGGCUCAACUUGGGAACUGCGUCUGAUACUGGAUGGCUUGAAUUCGGGAGAGGGAUGUGGAAUUCCUGAUGUAGCGGUGAAAUGCGCAGAUAUCAGGAGGAACACCGGUGGCGAAGGCGGGUCUCUGGGCCGAUACUGACGCUGAGGUGCGAAAGCGUGGGGAGCAAACAGG
rnacentral:rRNA from 1 species